rnacentral:tRNA from 1 species
UCCUUCGUGGUGUAAUGGUCAGCACGCUCGGCGCGUGUUCGAGAGAUUCGAGGUUCGAAUCCCGGAGAAGGCA